UUGUCUUUUUUUUUUAAAUUGUUUUAAUAAAAAAAUGAAAAAAAAAAAAAUCUGUUCUUAUCAGUUUACUAUCCGAUACGUCCCCUAUCUGGGGACUAUAUAUUAAAUGGAUUUUUGGAACAGGGAGAUGGAAGAAGAGCUUGCUCUGUCCACUCCACACAUCGACCUGGUAUUGCAGUACCUCCAGGACCGGUGCACUUCUC
rnacentral:snRNA from 1 species